UUGGAAAACCCCAAAUCACCCAGUUUUCAGGACUUCUUGACCCUUCGUUGGUGGACCACAAAUUUCUCAUCCGUUCAUCAGCUUCAGCUGCUGUUUCUUUCACCAGUACUGCUAUUUUAAGGUCUCUACACCACGUACUGUUUAUGUGACAUAAUUUGAUUUCAAAGAUAGAUUUUAAAAUUUGAAUCUCAUAAAUUAAAUUUUACCAUUUAAAUGAUAUAGAUAAUGUGCUCAACAGAAUGACUUGAGAAUAAAAUAACUCUCUUCACAUAUGGAUCUUAGAAUUGCUCAGCUUAAGUGAUGCUCAAUUAUCGCUAGUAAUUCCAUUAUUUUCCCCCAUAAUCCUCACUUCUGACCAUUACCAACGUUAUUAAGAUAUUAAUGCUUACUGCUUAGAAAGCAAUUGUGCAACCACCCCAAAGGACCGUUAAUGAAACCACUGUCCAAAGUUGCUUGUUUGGUUGCUAGCCUUCCUCUAGAUAAUCCUUUUAAUUUAUUCAAAAGAGUAAUAAUUUGUACAAGUCUCAAGUAUACAAGUUUUGCGCAGACCCUUUAUAAAACAAUCAUUUUCUUUUUUCUGUGGGCUCCAAUUUUUUUACAAAUGAGUUGUGCGAGGCUUGCACACCUAAAAGGGCUUAUACCUAGCAUACUCUAUUCAAAAUCCCCAUUAUAUUGAUAUAUCUUUUUAAAUCAAGACAAAAUUUCUUUAAACAACUCACGUUAAGGUGGGAGCAACACCCCUUUACACACGCCUAUGCGGUAAACCUCUCAUACAGUUAAGGUAAGCAACCAAAAUUACACGUACAAGGUCUUAUUUACAACAUAUAUAUGCACAAUUAGCUCUUUCUAGAGUUAAGGAGCCUCUAACCGAAACAGGGAGAUGAAUUUGAUCAUGAAUUGAGUUCAUCUACCCGAGCACAUAAGCAGACUGAACAGCCAUAGCAUUUUGCAACGCAAGAAUUUCAUACCAAAUCAGUCAAGGUUCCCAAUUGACUUUACUAAAGCCAUUCAGAUCUGGGAAUCAGACUCCACUACAACACAAGCAGCUUGAGAUUCAAGCAAAGCUUCAAACCAUCUAACACAGCACUCAACUCCGCUUUGUUUUUAGAUCCCAUACCAUAGAAAGAUGAAAAACCAGCCAUGAAACCUCCUGCCGGAUCCCUGAUCACUCCACCUCCUCCACAAGAACUGGAUUACUCAAUGAGCUUCUGUCACCAUUAAGUUUUACACAACCAAAACGAGGUCUAAUUCAUCUCAAAAUACAAACCACUGGUUGUUUCCAAUGAAUAAGAGGCACCUCUUCUAACCUUAAUGGUGAAUAUAUACUUGAUUUUCACUUCUGUUUAGUGUUUUCAAGGAAAACACUUAUAUAUACCAGCAAAUACUUGAUUUUCCAAAUUAAACCUGUGUGCUCUCCCAAUUGAUUAUCUAUUCUUGCCUAGCAUCUCCUUAUUCAUAAAGAUCAGCUAAUGAGAGAAGGCAACAAUCCAACAAUUCAUGCAAAAUGAAAGUUACUGCUUGCCCUUUGAAACCACCAAGUAAUCCUUCGAAUCCUAUUGACAACCUCUCUGCACAGCAAUCACAUUUUGAAGCCAAAGAAACACCCAGUUUCUGAAUAUUAACAUUAAAAGGUAAAUUGUAAUGAAAGCACAGCCAUAUGAAGACAGACAUGCAUGCAUCUUAUUUGGAAAGUGCGUAUACCAGACUCGCUCCAAGACACAGAUUGACCUCGAGUUCUAAUAUGCUCCCUAGAAGAACAAGUGGAAAGAGGAUCAGUGCCAGAAGCCUUCCAAAUAGAGUGUGGAUAUCUGUCCCCACCAUCUGGGCACACAAAAAACACAAGUUCAGUCCCAGACUGCCAGCAAAGUGUGAAACAUCUUGCAAAUAAUUAAACCUGCUCCAACUACUUAAAGGGUAGUGAUAUUAUAAGAGUCUUUACUUCUUGGGUGCGUUAUUGAAACAUUACUCUGGGUGUUUUCAACUAGUACCACCAAAAUGAAUGACUUGUCCCCAAAUGAAGUGAGCCAAAUCCCUCUUUGUUCUGCAAUAACAUUACUGUUGGGUUUCUAAAUUUUGCAACUAGUACCACCAAAAUCAAUGACUUGCCCCCAAAUGAACUGAAGUGUACCAAAUCCUUCUUUCAUCUGCAAUGGCUAACUGUUGGGGCCUGGGGGUACUGCUGCCCCAUUCAUUGAUCCCCCUGCAACAAUUGAGCUGUCUAUUGAGUGAAAGGCACAAUUAAUGAAGAA